rnacentral:lncRNA from 1 species
UAAACAAAGUGUCACGUGUAUUUAGAAUUUAAAAGAAAUAAAUAAAUAGAGAAAGAAUUUGAACCUUAAAUCUCAUACGGGUUCUGAAUCAACCUUUGGACUGGAGCUUGAUCAACGACCUCAAUGGCCCUCAACGAAAGAUGAAUCUCGAUUUCCAAAUGAUAACCAAAUUUGAACAAGGCGAUAAUUCCACAUCUAAAUUCGACCAAUGGUUCCAGCUUCAAUAAGAUUUAUACCAAAAUAGUGGAAGAGGGAAGUGUGAGCAAAAGAAAAUAUGUGAGAUUAAAAGUAGAAUAAUAAGAAGGAAUGAGAUUUGGUGAAAAUUCUUUGAAGUGUUCUUUGUCAAGGGAGAUGGCGGUCGUUUUUAUAAGGCAACGACGCUGAUUUUUGUGAGGGUGCCC